rnacentral:rRNA from 1 species
CCUACGGGAGGCAGCAGUGAGGAAUUUUGCGCAAUGGGGGCAACCCUGACGCAGCAACGCCGCGUGAGUGAUGAAGGCCUUCGGGUCGUAAAGCUCUGUCAGAGGGGAAGAAAUGCAGGUGGUGAACAACCAUUCUGUUUGACGGUACCCUCAAAGGAAGCACCGGCUAACUCCGUGCCAGCAGCCGCGGUAAUACGGAGGGUGCGAGCGUUGUUCGGAAUUAUUGGGCGUAAAGCGCGUGUAGGCGGUUUGUUAAGUCUGAGGUGAAAGCCCCGGGCUCAACCUGGGAAGUGCAUUGGAUACUGGCAGACUUGAGUACGGGAGAGGAGAGUGAAAUUCCCGGUGGAGGGGUAAAAUGCGUAGAUAUCGGGAGGAACACCAGAGGCGAAGGCGGCUCUCUAUGCUACUCCUGACGCUGAGGCACGAAAGCUAGGGGAGCAAACGGGAUUAGAUACCCCGUUAGU